GACCUUUUUAACAACUAUGUGUAAUUACUACAGAUACAUGCAGGAUUAAUCCAGAUACAAGGAAAACAUUACUAGAGGGUGUGAUUUACCCAGUGUGAAAGCAUCCUGACAACCCCCUACAUCAUCACACCUCUGUGACCAAAUCUAAAGGAUGCUCAAAUCUCCUGGUCUCUGGCUCAUUCCUUCUUUCCAUCCCUCCUUCUGCAGAUGCCUGCAGACGACUAUAACUGGGAACUAUUAGCUGGAAAACACAAUGGGACCACAGCAUGAAGCCUUACCUAGUCCAAGUUCAAAUUUUAUAACAAUACUACAG